UACCACCCUUUAAUGUUUGAUGUUCUAACGUUGGCCCGUAAUCCGGGUUGCGGACAGUGUCUGGUGGGUAGUUUGACUGGGGCGGUCUCCUCCUAAAGAGUAACGGAGGAGCACGAAGGUUGGCUAAUCCUGGUCGGACAUCAGGAGGUUAGUGCAAUGGCAUAAGCCAGCUUGACUGCGAGCGUGACGGCGCGAGCAGGUGCGAAAGCAGGUCAUAGUGAUCCGGUGGUUCUGAAUGGAAGGGCCAUCGCUCAACGGAUAAAAGGUACUCCGGGGAUAACAGGCUGAUACCGCCCAAGAGUUCAUAUCGACGGCGGUGUUUGGCACCUCGAUGUCGGCUCAUCACAUCCUGGGGCUGAAGUAGGUCCCAAGGGUAUGGCUGUUCGCCAUUUAAAGUGGUACGCGAGCUGGGUUUAGAACGUCGUGAGACAGUUCGGUCCCUAUCUGCCGUGGGCGCUGGAGAACUGAGGGGGGCUGCUCCUAGUACGAGAGGACCGGAGUGGACGCAUCACUGGUGUUCGGGUUGUCAUGCCAAUGGCACUGCCCGGUAGCUAAAUGCGGAAGAGAUAAGUGCUGAAAGCAUCUAAGCACGAAACUUGCCCCGAGAUGAGUUCUCCCUGACUCCUUGAGGG
rnacentral:rRNA from 1 species